UGUGUGGGUGUGUUGGUGUGGGUCUGGUGUGUUCUGUGGUUUGAUAUGUGUGUGUGGGUCUAUUGUGGUGAUGGUGGGUGUGUGGGGGUCUAUACUGAAGGCUGGGGGGUCUAUAACGGGAUGUAGGUGUGGGAGGUAGCGUGCGUCUGUUGUGUGCGUGGUAGUGUGGCUGUGUGGUGUUGGUGCGAUUGGUGUAGGUAGGCCUCCAGCUGACGGUGACGGUGGUGGUCCCGUGGUGGGUAGCCGGAGAGGGUGGUGGUCCCGUGGUGGGUAGAGGCGACGGCAGGACGGUCCCUGGUAACUGCUGACGGUGACACAGCCAACGGGCCAAUAGAAACACACUUCUAUUGGAAAGGAUGAAAAGUACAUCAGAGUAAAUAAAAGGGGGGAUCUGAGGACCCCGCCCGCACACACACGCAUAGAAGUAUAUAUAUAUAAAUAUAUAUAUAUAUAUAUAUAUAUAUAUAUAUAUAUAAACACAUGUGUUCUGUUACAUGUAUGUUUUCUCCUGUGUAAUUCAGUCUUCAGUGUAAUUCAGUCUAUUGAUGGUCCUGUGAUGCCAUCUACUGGGGAACUUUGGUAUUUUUCUGGAAUACGUUCUGAUAUGCAUUCCUUGCACUCCAUUACACUACAUUCACUUGAUCGGAAAGCAUGGUACUCACACUCGUCUUCAUAAUUGCGUCUCCUCUGGUUUCAAGUUGGCCUUUGUAAGCAUCGUUGUUUUACCCUACUUCACCUCACCAUAAAGAGUGAACUGCAACUUCUCGUCUGCGUGGUUUGAUGGAGAGGAGUUUAUACCAUCUGUCAACCCUGGCAAGGUGCUGGGGGUAGAGGGCAAAACAAGAGAGACACACACACACACACACACACACACACACACACACACACACACACACACACACACACACACACACACACACACACACACACACACACACACACACACGCAUCCAGACCCAUCCAUACACAUCCUCUCAUUAAUAGUGAAUCAUGCGCAUUUAUACAAAAUAUAGGAA